GGGGGACGCAGUAGGAUAGGCGAAGCGUGCGAUUGGAUUGCACGUCUAAGCAGUAAGGCUGAGUAUUAGGCAAAUCCGGUACUCAUUAAGGCUGAGCUGUGAUGGGGAGAAGACAUUGUGUCUUCGAGUCGUUGAUUUCACACUGCCGAGAAAAGCCUCUAGAUAGAAAAUAGGUGCCCGUACCGCAAACCGACACAGGUAGUCAAGAUGAGAAUUCUAAGGUGAGCGAGCGAACUCUCGUUAAGGAACUCGGCAAAAUGACCCCGUAACUUCGGGAGAAGGGGUGCUCUUUAGGGUUAACGCCCAGAAGAGCCGCAGUGAAUAGGCCCAAGCGACUGUUUAUCAAAAACACAGGUCUCUGCUAAACCGUAAGGUGAUGUAUAGGGGCUGACGCCUGCCCGGUGCUGGAAGGUUAAGAGGAGUGGUUAGCUUCUGCGAAGCUACGAAUCGAAGCCCCAGUAAACGGCGGCCGUAACUAUAACGGUCCUAAGGUAGCGAAAUUCCUUGUCGGGUAAGUUCCGACCCGCACGAAAGGCGUAACGAUUUGGGCACUGUCUCAACGAGAGACUCGGUGAAAUCAUAGUACCUGUGAAGAUGCAGGUUACCCGCGACAGGACGGAAAGACCCCGUGGAGCUUUACUGUAGCCUGAUAUUGAAAUUCGGCACAGCUUGUACAGGAUAGGUAGGAGCCUUUGAAACGUGAGCGCUAGCUUACGUGGAGGCGCUGGUGGGAUACUACCCUAGCUGUGUUGGCUUUCUAACCCGCACCACUUAUCGUGGUGGGAGACAGUGUCAGGCGGGCAGUUUGACUGGGGCGGUCGCCUCCUAAAAGGUAACGGAGGCGCUCAAAGGUUCCCUCAGAAUGGUUGGAAAUCAUUCAUAGAGUGUAAAGGCAUAAGGGAGCUUGACUGCGAGACCUACAAGUCGAGCAGGGUCGAAAGACGGACUUAGUGAUCCGGUGGUUCCGCAUGGAAGGGCCAUCGCUCAACGGAUAAAAGCUACCCCGGGGAUAACAGGCUUAUCUCCCCCAAGAGUUCACAUCGACGGGGAGGUUUGGCACCUCGAUGUCGGCUCAUCGCAUCCUGGGGCUGUAGUCGGUCCCAAGGGUUGGGCUGUUCGCCCAUUAAAGCGGUACGCGAGCUGGGUUCAGAACGUCGUGAGACAGUUCGGUCCCUAUCCGUCGUGGGCGUAGGAAAUUUGAGAGGAGCUGUCCUUAGUACGAGAGGACCGGGAUGGACAUACCUCUGGUGUACCAGUUGUCGUGCCAACGGCAUAGCUGGGUAGCUAUGUGUGGACGGGAUAAGUGCUGAAAGCAUCUAAGCAUGAAGCCCCCCUCAAGAUGAGAUUUCCCAACUUCGGUUAUAAGAUCCCUCAAAGAUGAUGAGGUUAAUAGGUUCGAGGUGGAAGCAUGGUGACAUGUGGAGCUGACGAAUACUAAUCGAUCGAAGACUUAAUCAA
rnacentral:rRNA from 1 species